rnacentral:tRNA from 1 species
GGCUCUGUAGCUCAACUGGAUAGAGCAUCGCACUACGGAUGCGAAGGUUAGGGGUUCGAAUCCCUUCAGAGUCACAA